rnacentral:lncRNA from 1 species
ACCUUGCUCAGGGCUGUCCUCUUCUCCUCGCGAGGCUUGCCGGCCCCGCUCUCACUUAGGGUCGGGGCCGGAGGCGCCGCCGACUCCUUCCGCGGUGACUCGCGGCGGCAGUGGGUCUCUGAGCUCGAUAGUUUCUCCCUCCAGCUCGGGCCCCGCGCAGCCAGGGCUGCGCCUAAGCCUCCGGCCCCCUCUUCCGAGCGCAUCCCCACCGGCCGGCCGGCCGCCGCCACCUCCGCGAGAACGAAGCCUCGCGAGGACUAGGCAGCCCCUCCCUUGGAAUUCGGUGUUCAGUGUCCCCUCCCCGGCCCUGACAGGGAAGGGGCGGUGCCAAUGCUGGCCCGCGCCUGUAGGGGGCAGCGCGGCAGUUUUUAAAAGACAGCGGACGUCCUAGAACGGCGGCGACGGUGAAGGAGAUCGGUGCUGCCAGCCACGCGGAGAGCAGAUGCUCACUCCGGACGUCCCGUGCGCUGCUGACCUGCGGUGGGGACUGGGAGCCCCCGGUCCACCCGGAGUCACUGGGACAGUACCGAAAGUAAACCCGUCGCUCUCCUCGCCCCACUCUGCCCUCCGCCUCCCUCCUACACGUUUUCUCUGUUGAGACAGGGCUUUGUGUAGCCUUGAUUGUCCUGGAACUCACUCUGUAGACCUGGCUCUCCUGGAGCUCAGAGAUCCUCUGCCUCCUGGGAUUAAAGGCGUCUGGCUUUUUAUUUUUAUUUUAUUUGUAGCAGAUAUACGAACAAUACAGUUUUCCCAUGUGCUCAAUGAUGUAUAGCACCAUUCUCCCUACGUUAAUGGUAAAGGAGAAUGAGAGAUUUUCAGAAAUCGAUCGUGGCACUCCUGAAAUGUGACGUUUUAAAUAAGCCAAAGACUCAAAACCGUUUAGGUCUGCGUCAAACAGGCCUCAAACAUCGAGAGUUCUAUAAAAGCCUGGGCAAGAGCGGUUUUCCAGUAUUUCGUGUUGCAAAGAAAGCUAGGACUGAGCCCAUCACUUGAACCAGCUCAGUUUGGAAUAACCAGUUACACUGACCAGAAGUUCUGAUAGCCUCUUAACCUUUAUUAGGAAGAAAACACACGUGUGAGAGGCUGAUAAAAAUGUGGACGACGAGUUGUCAGGAAAAACCAACCCAUACCCAGUUGUUAAGAUAGUACAAGGUCGAUGGAUAGUAACUUCACAAUGGAAGAAAGUUGGAACAUUACAAGCUUGGAGCCAAAAUUAUCUCGGGCUGGCUUUUGCCCCCUUAAAGAUAAAGCCAUUGACUGUCCUCCUGUGUGCCUGACCCAACACCCUUUCACCUGUCUGGCAAACUGCUGGUUAGUUUAUGUCAGCUUGACUCAAAAUAGUCACUUGGUUGUGAAGAGGAAAGAGUUGAGGCAUUAUUUUCAUCAGAUUGGCCUGUGGAACAGUUUCUUGACUAAUGGACGUGAAAGGGUCCCACAGCAGUUGGACCUUGCUUGUAAUAAAGCCAAUAAGCAUUCUCUGUGGCCCUGCUAGUUCUUGCCUCCAAACUCCUACUUGAAUUUCUUCUCUGAUUUCCCUCACUGAGGGAUGUGACCAGAGAGCUAGAAGAGGAACUAAAUCUCUUCCUCCCACAAGUUGCUUUUGGUCAGUGUUCAGAGUGUAAUGAGUUGUGGAAACAUGAAAGAUACCAUUGAAAGAAGAGAGACAUUAUGAAGUAUCAGAGGGAUACCAGGGAUGUUCUUGUGAUAUUUGGAUUAAGAAUCUACCUUUAUUGGGACAAAUAAUGAUGGUUAGCUGGGGAUGAAGAAUCAGUUGUGAUUAAUAAGACCAGCAUCAUCAAAGUGCAAUUUUCUGGAUAUACUUCCUAAAGGUCAGCACACAGACACUGCAGUCCAGAUGCAGUCAAGGCUAUCUCAAGCAGGAAACCUGACUUGGUAAUGUGUACCCCACAUAGUGGAACUGAUUGUGUAGGCAUGAACGCUGCAAGAUUUAAGAGGUCACAGAAAUGAGCUGAGAUUGAAACUGGAAAGAGCCAGGAGAGGCAGUAGAAACUCCAGCAUGCUGGAGAUGCUAGGACUGCAGGACCAUGUCAGGUGAGGAGUGGAGCCUACUUAAGCCUACCAGACAAGCUGUGAGUUGUGGAUGGCAGAGCCAGCCUGAGACAUGGAGCUGCCCAAGUCCCCUGGAGCCCGGAAGAUCAUGAGUAAGUCCCAGACAUUAGAUUAUAAAUUAUUUACAUUACUGGAUUUUGCUUUUGUUUUGAUCCACUUUUAACUGUGCUUUGGUUCUUUCUUCCCUCUUGGAAUAACUACUUGAUUCUGAGACUAUAGUUACAAGACUGGAUAUUGUUAGUGUCACUGAACUUUAACAAGUUUUUAAAGAUGGAAACUUUGAAGGUUAUACUUUAUAUUGUUGUAUUAACAUCUUGAUGAUAAACAAGGAAAGGUUACUGUUUAAUGGUGAUGUAUGUGUCAAGUUAAGAGGUCACCCCAGUUGGUUAGUUUUUGUGAACUUGAAACAAACUAGUCACCUGGACUAGUUUCCAUCAGACUGACCCACAGGGCAGGUUUCUGAUUAAUGACUGAUGUGGAAGGGUUCAACCAUCUGUGGGCAGUGCCAUCCCUGGGCAGGUGGUCCUGGGUUGUAUAAACAAGCAAGCUGAGAAUGCUUUAGGGAAACUAUGUUCAAAAUAUAUAAAAAAAAUAUUUUCAAUGAAAAUUAAAUUUAUU